GGUCGAUUGGUCUAGUGGUAUGACCGGAUCAGUCAAUCUGGUUGCGCCCCCCCCCCCGGGGUCCGGGGGAGCGUGACUGGAGCUUGAUCUUAACCUGGGUUCGAAUCCCAGAUCGACUA